AUAUGAACAGAAAGACAUACAGAGAGACAGAACCAGCCUUAUGCUGUCUGUCUAGGUCAGUGUGUAUGUGCAUGUGCACACUUGUGUGUAUGGAGGGGGGCUGAUACAGACAGACAGAGACAGACUUAAUACGAACAACCUCUAGAGGGGGAAAACACUACUGUGGCUGGCUGCUGGAACUACACAGACAGCAGUGUCUCUCUAGAGGAGUGGCUGCUGGAACUACACUGACAACAGUGUCUCUCUAGAGGGGUGGCUGCUGGAACUACACAGACAACAGUUUCUCUCUAGAGGAGUGGCUGCUGGAACUACACUGACAGCAGUGUGUCUCUCUAGAGGGGUGGCUGCUGGAACUACAGAGACAACAGUGUGUCUCUCUAGAGGGGUGGCUGCUGGAACUACACAGACAACAGUGUCUCUCUAGAGGAGUGACUGCUGGAACUAGAACUAGAACUGGUCGAGACAAGAAGGUGAUAGUAUGGGGUGCCUUGCAGUAGUUCUGAGGCCAGUGUGACCCCUGAUGAACCCCCCAGUCAUCCAGACCUGUUUCUCCAUAUUAGAUGUAGGAGACUCAGCCACUGCUGUCUCCUUCUGCCUCGACAACAGUCAGAGUCACGCGUUGAUAGUGAAGAGGUUGCACUG